UCGCAGUCUGCAACUCGACUGCGUGAAGGUGGAGUCGCUAGUAAUCGCGGAUCAGCAACGCCGCGGUGAAUACGUUCCCGGGCCUUGUACACACCGCCCGUCACACCAUGGGAGUCGGUAACACCCGAAGCCUGUAGUCUAACCGCAAGGGGGACGCAGUCGAAGGUGGGAUUGAUGACUGGGGUGAAGUCGUAACAAGGUAUC
rnacentral:rRNA from 1 species